GCCAGCCCGCUACAGAAACUUAAAGGAAUUCGACGGGGGCCCGCACAAGCGGUGAGCAUGCGGUUAAUUCGAAGCAACGCGAAGAACCUACCAGGCCUUGACAUGCAGAGAACUUUCCAGAGAUGGAUUGGUGCCUUCGGGAACUCUGACACAGGUGCUGCAUGGCUGUCGUCAGCUCGUGCCGUGAGAUGUUGGGUUAAGUCCCGUAACGAGCGCAACCCUUGUCCUUAGUUACCAGCACGUUAUGGUGGGCACUCUAAGGAGACUGCCGGUGACAAACCGGAGGAAGGUGGGGAUGACGUCAAGUCAUCAUGGCCCUUACGGCCUGGGCUACACACGUGCUACAAUGGUCGGUACAAAGGGUUGCCAAGCCGCGAGGUGGAGCUAAUCCCAUAAAACCGAUCGUAGUCCGGAUCGCAGUCUGCAACUCGACUGCGUGAAGUCGGAAUCGCUAGUAAUCGUGAAUCAGAAUGUCACGGUGAAUACGUUCCCGGGCCUU
rnacentral:rRNA from 1 species